rnacentral:rRNA from 1 species
CCUACGGGCGGCAGCAGUGAGGAAUAUUGGUCAAUGGACGAGAGUCUGAACCAGCCAAGUAGCGUGAAGGAUGACUGCCCUAUGGGUUGUAAACUUCUUUUAUAUGGGAAUAAAACAGGGUAUGCAUACCCUCUUGUAUGUACCAUAUGAAUAAGGAUCGGCUAACUCCGUGCCAGCAGCCGCGGUAAUACGGAGGAUCCGAGCGUUAUCCGGAUUUAUUGGGUUUAAAGGGAGCGUAGGUGGAUUGUUAAGUCAGUUGUGAAAGUUUGCGGCUCAACCAUAAAAUUGCAGUUGAAACUGGCAGUCGUGAGUACAGUAGAGGUGGGCGGAAUGCGUGGUGCAGCGGUGAAAUGCUUAGAUAUCACGAAGAACUCCGAUUGCGAAGGCAGCUCACUGGACUGCAACUGACACUGAUGCUCGAAAGUGUGGGUAUCAAACAGGAUUAGAUACCCCUGUAGUC